rnacentral:rRNA from 1 species
GACGUAGGUCUCAAGCGUUGUUCGGAUUCAUUGGGCGUAAAGGGUGUGUAGGUGGCGCGCUAAGUCGGGUGUGAAAUUUCGGAGCUUAACUCCGAAACUGCAUUCGAUACUGGCGUGCUUGAGGACUGGAGAGGAGACUGGAAUUUACGGUGUAGCAGUGAAAUGCGUAGAUAUCGUAAGGAAGACCAGUGGCGAAGGCGGGUCUCUGGACAGUUCCUGACACUGAGACACGAAGGCCAGGGGAGCAAACGGG